AUUUGAGUAAUUGAAAAGUGAAAACCUACAAGCCUCCAUGUUGAGUCCAACUUUCCUAUUGAACUGCCCAUCUCCAACCAAGACCACCGAUAGUAUUAGAUUGAAGUAAAUGGGGACAAUGCUGCUCCAUUUUACAAGUGCUUGAAGCUGGGAAAGUGGGAAAUUUUUUAUUCUUAGAAACAUCUCUUCGUGCGGAUUCAUGUUGAUAUGUAAUUCUAACAAGCCUCUUCUGGUUUUGUUGAUUAUUUGACUCGGAUUGGAAUCGAUUAUUGUUCUCUUUUUUGUUUGAUUAUUCAGCUAAUCCUUUAAUUUUGUUUGGAGAUUUUUGUGUUUUUGAUGUUUUGACCGAUUGCUUUGGUGUAAGGGUUUGUACUGUUGAAUUUUCGUUAAUUUGAGACAAUAUUAAGAAAUAUAUUAUAGAAAAAAAUUGAUUUGAUUUGCUACUGUAUGAUUUAAUAUUGAUGUGCUAUGAUUGUUUGUUUAUCAGAGAUGUUCAAGCGAAUAAAUAAAAAUUUAAUCCGUGUUUGUUGUUGUUAAAUAGGUGUCAUCCUAUUCUCCAUCUCAAAAAUAAAAAUAAUGAGACCAAAUAAAUGAAAAGAUGAAAUAUUUAUGGAAAUAUGUUAAAUCGUUUCCAUUUAACUUGAAACUUCUUAGUUUAUCAAUUACAUUUUUUGUCACUUUCUUCACUUGGACUUAGUGCUACCGUGCCACAACCAUUGAUCCUUAAUGACAUGUAAUGAUACCUUUUGAGUCCUGGUACAUUUUCCUACUCAUUCUAAGGCAAAAUUAAGUGGGUUAUAAAGAUGGUGGUGAUAUUUUAAUGUUAUGGUUUUGGGGAUAUGGUUGAAUAUAUUCCAUGUUAGGCUAUUUUAAUUGAUGUAGGUAAGAGUGUUGGGUGAGAUGAAAUUCAAUGGAACUUUGCUAAGUUUUUGGUCGAUAAGAAUGGACAGGUUGUUGAUCGUUGUUAU
rnacentral:lncRNA from 1 species